rnacentral:rRNA from 1 species
UACGUAGGGUGCAAGCGUUAAUCGGAAUUACUGGGCGUAAAGCGUGCGCAGGCGGUUUUGUAAGUCUGACGUGAAAUCCCCGGGCUCAACCUGGGAAUUGCGUUGGAGACUGCAAGGCUAGAAUCUGGCAGAGGGGGGUAGAAUUCCACGUGUAGCAGUGAAAUGCGUAGUGAUGUGGAGGAACACCGAUGGCGAAGGCAGCCCCCUGGGUCAAGAUUGACGCUCAUGCGCGAAAGCGUGGGGAGCAAACAGG